rnacentral:misc_RNA from 1 species
UAUUCGUUACUGCCCUGUGACCUUUUUUUUCUCCUCAUGUUACCGUACCGUAUUUGUUUUCCAUCGUUACUGUGUUGUAUCCUACCUUUCCUUUACGCCCCGUCAUUUUAUUUUACCUAUGGCAGCCCAUUUGGUAACCCCUGCAUCCUUCACGAAUAUUUUUCCUAACCGCGCCGAUUUCGCUUUGUUGUAUUAUUUCGUUCUGAGUUCUGUCGCCACCGCCGCCGUGUGAGGUUGUGUACCGCCAGUGUGCCAUCUGCUGCCACCACCGCCACCAAUAUAAUUGAAGUGCUCAUAUAUUCAAGUUUUUUAAAGUCAAACCAGAGAGCCGGCCCUAUUUAUUUCAUUUUGAUUUUCAACAUAGUCCUCCGGGCCGGAUGACUUUUUGAUUUCUGUUAAAUUUGCUUCUUUGAUGAUUUGCUGAUUGAUUUUGACUGAUCAAGACUGAGAUUGACUUGUGAAUUGUGUAUAUCAAGAUGGAGAGUGAGGCACAGCUUAAACAGAAAAGGACUGUGGCUCGAGGUAAGGCAACCAGACUGAUGAAAGAGCUUGCCGAAUGUGAUAAUUCUCAAGAGGACGACCUUGCCUUGGCAAUACACCACCUUGAGCAGCACGUUGAUCUGAUGACCGAGAUCCAGGUGACGACGACGUGCUGACGCCCGCGCACCUGUUGUUCGGGGUCACGUCCAUCCGUGGCGUGCUCUCUCCGUCUGGCCACGAGCUGGACAGCCUGAGUCGGCGCUGGCGGCACCAGCGGCUGGUCAGCGAGCACCUGGUUCAGCGAUGGACCAAAGAGUACCUGCAGACUCUACGCACGUGGAGCUUCUCUCGGCGCGGCCGUCCGGUUCGGCUGCCCGAGGUUGGAGAGAUUGUGCUGGUGCACGCGGAAGGUCCGCGUGGUCGCUGGCCUCUGGCGCGCGUGGUGUCCCUCCUGUCUGGAGCGGACGGCCGCGCUCGCGCGGCGAGUAUCGUGCUAAGAGGGCGACUUACCCGCCGCCCGAUCAACAAACUGUUGAGACUAGAGGCGUCGGAGUGAAGUGAGCGUCGGCGAGGCGAGUGCCGAAAAAGUGACUGUGUGCCGAGUGAGGAGAGACUUUUCGAAGUGACGGCUCACUUCGAAAGUGGGGAGUAUGUCGCUAUUCGUUACUGCCCUGUGACCUUUUUUUCUCCUCAUGUUACCGUACCGUAUUUGUUUUCCAUCGUUACUGUGUUGUAUCCUACCUUUCCUUUACGCCCCGUCAUUUUAUUUUACCUAUGGCAGCCCAUUUGGUAACCCCUGCAUCCUUCACGAAUAUUUUUCCUAACCGCGCCGAUUUCGCUUUGUUGUAUUAUUUCGUUCUGAGUUCUGUCGCCACCGCCGCCGUGUGAGGUUGUGUACCGCCAGUGUGCCAUCUGCUGCCACCACCGCCACCAAUAUAAUUGAAGUGCUCAUAUA